UGACCGUCGUGCGCGCCGCUGCGACAUGAGCAGCGACGACGACGACCUGUAGCGCACCAUCACCGUCCGCCGCCACAGCCGCCGACUUGGGUCCAACGACGGAGGCAGCACCACACAGCGGCCCGCGACGCGGUUUCCGGCGGCGGGACGACCAUGAGUUUUGAAACGCCCUGAAAAUCGCAACAGUCUCGCUAAGUCCUUUCGCUGUACACAACUACAUGGACCAAAUGGGAUUUUCAUAUAUUUUCAAAAACAAACAUAACUCAUUUUAUUUCUUAAUAAAUUGUUCGAAUAAUAUAAAAUAUAUAUAUGAUGUAUAUAAUAUGGACAUCAUAUGAAGGUAUGUAACAUUUCGCUCUUCUAUCGAUUAUCAUCGAUUUAUAUAUGACGAGGUACUGCAGUUCAACAUUACUUCGUACAAAAAAAAAUAGUCAGCAACUACGAUCUUUUCGAUAGCUAAUUCUACGAUAUUGUAAAUAACUUAUUUAUUCGGUUAAUAUUUUUAGUUAAUCCAUUAAUUACGAAUUUAAAAAUAUAAAAAUAAAUUAUUUUAAAUUAUGUAACGAAAUUUUACUAUAUUUAAACAUAAUAUAUAAUUUAUAUCAAAAACGCGUAGCUAUAUUGUAUCUUAAAUCACUUGCUAAGGUGCACAUCAUGUAGAUAAAUUAUUGUUUUUUUUUUUUUUUAAACGUGGCUGUGAUAAAAUAAUUUUUUGCGAUCCCUAUACUUUUUUUCCUUGGGUUUUAUCUAAAAUGUUGUCUAACAAAUACCGUGGGACCUACAACUACAGGGCCAGCAAUUAACUUUUUAUUGGAAAAAAUGCAUAGUUGAAAUAUAAAUUUAUUGUUUUUCAAUAUACUAUAAUUAUUUCCUAUUUAUAUUAUUUUACUACUACAGCAUAUUAUGCAAACAUUCAACUUAACUUUACUAACAAAAAUGAUUUUUCGUUGAAACUGUACUAUAACAUUAUAGUGAAUUAUAAAUAUACAAUAAAUAACUUUUACGUGUGCUUAAUACUUUUGUAUAUGAACUUAUACUAUGAUAAUACAUGAACCAUACGGAUUUUUAUUUUAGAAAAACGUAUCUAUUAACAUAACUGCACAUAGCAGAUACAUUAAUUUACUUUACACGUACUUGUUGUAUAAAUCACUAUAUGUUUUUUUAAAUUAUUGUGUCUAUAUAGAUUAAUUUAUACAAAUAAACUCAAUUUUUUAUACAUACACAACUUAUAUAUACGUGACGACUAUACGUGACUUUAUGACUAUUAUAUUAUAUACUAUUAUUACUACUGUACUACUGUAAAAUAUAUAAACAAUAUCAUACUAUAAUUUAUUAUACUUUACUUCUAUACAUAUUGUAUGACAAUUGACGAUGUCAAUAGUUUUACAUGACUAUAGUAUUAGAUUUAAAACCAUAUUGUACCAACCAAUUUAACUUUAAAUACAACAAUUCAAAUGUAAGUCUCAAUUUAAACAUAUAGGUAAUAUGGUGACAAUCUAUAUAUAAACACAAACUUGAGUACUCGACAUACACCUACGCUCGAAUUAAAUAGAAAUAUAUAACUUCACAUACCACAUUACCUAAGUACUGCUAAUAUACAUUAUAUAAAAUAUCCAUAAUAAUUGAUCACAAUAAUUAUUUUAUGGAUAUUUAUGUAUAUUCUAUUUAUAUUCAACCUUUAACCUUUAACCUGUUCACAAAAUCAACGACUACGUUCAGAACUCUUUUGAAAAAGAUUUAUAACGUACAUUUUCUAAACUAAUAACGAUGAAAUGUAUAUACAAUUUACUACAUAUUUUACAUGCACUUCUACGUAUACCUAUACAAAUAUGGAUGAUCUGUAUGGCGGCUGCACUUAACAAGUUUACAUUAACAUAAUUUAUAUUUAUAAUCACUAUGUAAUUAUAUAUAUUUGUUAUAAUUAGUAUAAGAAGACCACGAUCAAUUGUAAUAGCAUUAUUGCACGCUUUUACAGUAAGUUUAUUCUAUGUACGUGGUUUGUCCCGAAAACGAUGAUUCAUCAAGCGAUAAGCAUGAUCAUCUUUAUUUACCGUCUUUUCUUAUAGUAAUUCAUUUAUAUAAUUAUUCUACUAUAAUACAUCUAUAUUUACCUACAACAUUAUGCCUUUACAUAGUUAUAUAGAAUUCGGCAGUUCGUGUACACACGCGUCAAUGUUAAUUUACUGACUUUGAAAUUUCACUUUGGGCUUUCACUUAGAUCCCAGUUCCCCCUUCCGACCGGGUAUAGAACGCAAAAAUGAAAACUUAGAUAGAAAGUGGGUCGCAAGGUCAUUAACAUGUGCAAGUAGAUCUCCACAUAAGCCAUUUUUAUCAAUUUAAAACAUGCCUAUAUGCUAUAUGGUAUAAUACAUACCUCUAUUGCAUAUAUAAAAAUUAAUAUACAUUUCGCGUAUCUAACCUAUUAUAAUAUUUCAAUGAGUCGAUUUUUCAACUCAUUGUACCUAAUAUUAUAUUGUCUGAUCGGACUUUCCCAUCAUAAUAAGUAUCAUAUGCAGUCAGGCGUCAUUCAUAAGUUCACUCAAACAAUGUAUCAAGCAUAUUGAUUAUUCAUUGUCUAUGAUAUAAAUCUCGCUUAAACGAUUUGUAAUUUUAGGAAUUUCGUACAAAUGAAAACCACCCUAAUAUACGCAUAUAUUAUAAAUAUUAUAAUCUUUAAAAAAAUAAUAUUAUAUUAUUAAAGAUACUAUCGUCAAAUUGGUACAAAAUUACAAAAAUCUUGUUGGCUCUAUAUCAACAAGAUUAUUUCAAAUCUAACAUAGUUUUUUAUCAAUAUGAUUGUGUUUUUUCGGUGUAAUCUGUUUUAGACGUUCACCACGCAGACACCGAACGGAAGAAUACAAACGCGUAUACCAGGUACAUUAUACUUACACGACUUAACUAUGCAAGUUCUUUGACUAUUGCACAGCAACAUAAACUGAACGAAAUAAACGCACAUAUCACAUCCAAUUAUUUCUAGUUUUAACAUUUACAACUGAUUUUACGACUAACAGCGAUUACUUAUAUUAUAUUUAUGUAAAUCAUAAAAUACAAAUAUAUACAGAAACA